rnacentral:tRNA from 1 species
GUGGCUGUGGCUCAGUGGUAGAGCUUGCCCAGCACAUGCAAAGCCCUGGGUUUGAUCCUCAGCACCACC